rnacentral:rRNA from 1 species
AGGGUUCGAUUCUGGCUCAGGAUGAACGCUAGCUACAGGCUUAACACAUGCAAGUCGAGGGGCAGCAUGGGAGUUGCUUGCAAUUCCUGAUGGCGACCGGCGCACGGGUGAGUAACGCGUAUCCAACCUUCCCCUUAGUAGGGCAUAGCCCGGUGAAAAUCGGAUUAACACCCUAUGUUCUUCACAGCAGACAUCUAACGUGAAGCAAAGGUUCACCGCUAAGGGAUGGGGAUGCGUCUGAUUAGGUAGUAGGCGGGGUAACGGCCCACCUAGCCUUCGAUCAGUAGGGGUUCUGAGAGGAAGGUCCCCCACAUUGGAACUGAGACACGGUCCAAACUCCUACGGGAGGCAGCAGUGAGGAAUAUUGGUCAAUGGGCGAGAGCCUGAACCAGCCAAGUAGCGUGCAGGAUGACGGCCCUAUGGGUUGUAAACUGCUUUUAUAUGGGGAUAAAGUUCACCACGUGUGGUGUUUUGUAGGUACCGUAUGAAUAAGGACCGGCUAAUUCCGUGCCAGCCGCAGC